AAUCAGUCCAGUACCUUAUUUAUAUAUGGCAAAAAUUCAUGAGAUUUGGAGCUGCACCACCUUGACUCAUUUACAAAUUUCCAUUAUCCUUUUCUAACUUCAAUGAGUAGAAAGAAGAAGCCACUUGUUCUUGAAUGUCAAUUUUUUGCCUUGCCAAAUUUCAUGCUACUGUUGGGAAAACUACUGCUGAAUACCCGAAGUGGGCUUAAUUAGGACAAACUGGUUCUGGGGUGCUGCAGCUGGGCAAACUUUUUUACUUUAUAAAUUACCUGUGAAAGA